CUUAAAACAUGCAGUAAUUCCUUUGAAAUGAAGCAAUUUACAUGUAUACAGAUAUUGCUACAAUGGUGUUGUUCCACCAGACAAACUGAACACAUGCAUAAAUUGUUGAACUUAAAUAAACGUUGUAUCCUUUAUUUCUGCCUGAGAAUGGAUCUGUCUUCGAUUUGCUCAUAAGCAGCCAAUGCAAUUUUUAAAUAUAUAUUCACCAAGCGUAUUCAGAAGUAAUUAAGAAGUCCCGCUUGAUUUCGUGGCAAGCAAAAAUUCAGCACUGUCAGAGAUGUGUCCGGAUUAAGUAACAAUGAGGUCACCCUCACAGGUAUAAAAAGUGCUGAUUCGUUUCAAUACCAUGGACAGCGAUCAGUCUGCCCUUAAACCGUUACCAAGGUUUUUGCAUACUUCAACACUGAUCUAACUUUAUCAAUAUGCAGCUGUAAAACCUUUGUCUGUUUAAGCUUUUUGGCAAUGAAAUAAAUCUAAAGCCAAAUACGAACCGUAAAAUAUUAAUAAUACUAAAUACAGGCAAUAUCGGGGUAUCGACGAGAAGGUUUUCACAUACGUGUGUGUGGAUAUUAAGAACAUAAAGCGGAGAGUUAGCACUUUGGCCAGAAGUGACAAUGAAAACCGUGUCUUUCUAAAACUUGAAUUUUCAUUUGUUCUUAAAUGUGAGCUGUGCUGUUAUAAUAUGUGCUCGAUUUGGACCCAACACAGAACUGUGUUGGAGGAGAAGGGUUUUGUCAUUCAGUAAUACGUCAAUUAAAAGAAACUGUUUACAAGAUGGUAUUCGUUUAGAAUUUCACUCCUUCAGUUUCAAGGACAUCCUGCUGAUCAGGAUUUGGUUAAUGGAGGAGAACUUCUGGCCCAGCAAUGACGUCAUGGGUCCAAUGUAAUCCUCUUGUGCUGAACCCAAUCAGCAGAUGUGUCGCUUGUCUGGAUGGAGAGCGAUUAAUCCGUUAGACUGGAUCAGAUCAGCAGCAGCGCCAGGACUGGACCAAACUGCCUCUAGUCCGAUAAAGAGACCGGAUAAAUUGCAGAAGCUUUUUCGCCUCUUUAACAGUCUGGGAUGGAGGAGUGGAGGACCAACCGUUCUUCAGCUGAUUGCAGCUCUAACCAUUGCUGGUGCCUGGGAAGAGUUGCUGAUCCCUUCUCUUCAGUAUUGUAGAACGAGAUGGGCAUGAAAACAGUGAAUGCAGGGAGAUCAAUCGCCUUUUUUUCUCCCUUCCCCGCUCUAUUCAAGUGAACCAAAAAAAAGCCAGCGCAUUGGAGUUCGUUAACAAUGGAUGUGUCAGGGACACUUUCAUCCGACGCAGAAGCUACCCGGCAAUGGAAUCGAUGGAAGACAACAGCGAACAGACGUACUGAAUGGUCUUGGAUACUGGGCCGAUGAAACAGAACCAGGAAAUAGUACUAAAAUCCAAAACAGAUUAAACAUGAUAGAGUUGGACAGAACAUAAUUUUAUGCAAACACUCUUUUGUUUGCCCCAUAACCCCAAACCUUUGUCACUCAUUGCCCUCCCUUCUAGCUGUUGGUUAAUAUAAAUCAAAGUCCAUCACGAUUGCCUAUUACAUCACCUGGUGUUCAAUGGAACUGAAGGUCUAGCCAUUUCUCUGUGCUAUAUCGAUGAACAGAAUUGAUCGCAUUUUCACCAAUCCGAAACAGCCUAUUAAUAGUUGAACAAUAUAUUUUCACUGUCGAUGCUGUAACAUCGGGGCGUUUCGGUGAACCCUUUAGUUUUCUCUGUUGACCCCGUUGCACCACCUAUUAUAAUUCUGUGGAGUGUUGGCUUUCUCCCAUACUGCAGUAUUGCGUGUUAUUAAAGCGCCCCCUCCAGGUUCAUACUCUUCAUUUCCGAUCCGAAAUCUAAGCGUUCGAAUCAAGUCUAUCAGUAUGAAGUAUUUUUACAAUUUUAAACGUACAUUCAUUUCAGCCACCGAACUACCAUUUAACGUGUAUCGAAACAAAGCAAGGUUAGCACAAAAUUAUCCCUAACACAAAAUGGAAAUCUCGGAUGUGCAUUUAUGGAACGUCUAAACUGCUUCUCAGAACUUCACAGUUAAGUGAUUUCUCUGAGAUGUUCUUGUCUUCUAGGAAGACUUAGCACGUUUCAUAACCACAUUGAGAUGAAUGAUCGGGUUUUUUUUUUGUUUCACUCGCUAUUCGAGGGAGGAAUAGUGGGCCCAACCUGUUUUCUACAAGUUCCAAUUGUACUUCCUCCAAAGAACUGCUGCAUCUCAAUGGGGCCUUUGUUCAACGCCUCAUCCAAAGGAUAGUACUUGCAACAAUGCGGCACUCUUAUCAGUCCUGCAUUGAAGUGUCCCGUGAGAUUAAGUGCUCACGUACUGGAUACACGCUUAAAUCGGAAGCGUUUUGACUCAGAGAAUACGUUGAGCGUAACAAUUGAUGGGAUGUUUCUGGAGAAGUAAUUUACUAAACGGGAGCGAGUCACACUAAACCUAAUAUUUCUUGUGAAGGAUAAGUGAAAAUUUAUAUGGAGAACUAGUCUUAAAUAUUGUAAACCGGCUAAAUUGAACUAACAAGGAUCUGCAUGAUACAGCCGCACAGUAAUACUGUUCGAAAGUAACCCUGUUCGCAAUUUCAAUUUCCAACAACGUCUUCUGUUGGAUCAGAUUCACAAAUUUAAUAUCGUUUUAUGUUCUUGAAGUAGAUUUUGAAAUAGAUUGUUUAGGAUAAAGGAUUCUAAAAAUAUAAACAGGGAAGAUUAUAUAUGUAGUUCCAUUUCAGAUAGGAUUGCUAAAUGUGAUCGCUCUUUGCGAAGAUCAAUUAAUUGCAAUCCGGUGUAUUUUUAGCACGGUAAUGCUUUGUGAAGCUAUUCUUGCUCUCAUUUUACCCAUCCUGCCGCCCCACGUGGGUAUGUCACCUUCGGUUUUCCAUAAGAGUUCAAAUUACAUUAGUGACUUUGCUGUUUCCGCCAUUAAUACAUUUGAAAUCGAGUUUUUGCCAAUGAUAGCAUAUUCUUGGGUUCUUAAAAUAUUAAUGUACAAAUCGUACAAUGGAAAGGCUAAUCUGGCGACACAAGUAUAGAGCUCAGUCUAUUCCGUGUAGAACGGAAUGAUACGUAGGGAUAGUUAAUAUAGCUCCAGUGCACACUUUAGUAUCCCUAUUUCCGCAGUAUAAGCAUUGCUACAGGUAAUGCGAAUAAAGGCAACUUCAAUUGGUUUCCACUGUUUCUUUUAAAAUAAAUAAACAAACUUUCUUUGUUUUUGAAGUAGAAUCGAAUGAUUAGUGUAAUAAGAUUGAUUUAUUUGUAACUCCACAUCGUUAACGUCAGGCCACGCAAGAUAGACAGGUCUUUCCACUGCUUUUCCCUCCGCUGACUGUCAGCUAAUCACUACUGUAUUAUAGGAAACGUAUCCACAUUAGACAAAAGCAGUGUUUGCAUUGCCUUUAACAUUCCAAUUGUGUGCAAAUAUAAACUAAAGAACAAGUAAGUGAUUUUGAAACAAGUAACCUGGAAGUAACAGCUGGAAAUCUUAAUCAAAGCGGAAAAUGGGAAAUAGCCAACGAGUUUGUUAGCAACUGAGAAGAAAGCAACUUAAAGUGGCUCUCAAGGUUGGGAAUCCAUCACCACAACUGGCUCUCCAUUCGGACUGAGUCUUCUUCCCAUACAUUAAGCUGCCUUUUUACGAACCCUAUGAUGUGGAUACACUAAUUCUUGGUUUAUUUUAUUCCAUUUUAUCUUGGUGUGUACAGGUGCAUUGUUAUUUAAUCAGUGAAUACAAUUCCCGGGCUAAAUUAAAGCAGAACUUUCAUAUUUGUUAAGUAUAUCUUUUCUAUCCCCACUUUUCUUAUUUAUUUCCCUUGCUUCAUAUUUGGAGUUUCGUCGAUACAGCCCUGUCUUUUUAUUCACUUUAAAUAUGGCUGAACAAGAACAAAAAAGUCUGCACUGUGAUAGUAAUGAGAAAACUGGAAUAUUUCGGGAUUGGUUAUCUGUGCGUUUGUAAUUUUCCGUGCACGCAAUUAAAACGCAGAUGUAACUCAGUUUUGCCAUCGGGGAGCUGGGGCGGGUGGAGGGGGUGUCGGAAAUCGGAAAUGCAGUAGCUCUGACUACAUCCGGACAGAGAAUCAGGAUUAACGAUGAACUUUCAUCAAUUCGGAAAGCUCAUCGUCCUUUUGCAUUUGCUUCCUCAGAUCUCCGUUUUGGCCCUCUGAACAUUUCUAGUAGUUCCUGGGUCUUUCAUUUGGUCAACCAAUAAACGUGGCUCGGGAAUCGGGUCAAACAAACAACUUUAAAUAUAUAUUUUAAAAAUCAAACGUGAAAAUGAAAACAAAAACGCUUAAAGUAUGUCCCCAGUAGAAAUUUUUCAACUGUAGUGAAGACAGGUCUUUUUUUUACAGUUCCUUGAGACGUUUCUGUGUUUAGGUCAGUUCAAGGUGAUAUGGUAAACGCUGAUAUUGGAUAGUUGGAAUUUGUAUGGACAAAUGCUUGCAGUCUAUGUGGUGACUAUCAUUGUGAGUUUUAACCAUGAAUGGAUUGGGUGAUCAAACAUAUCCUACCUCCCUUCUAAUAGCUACGUUACUAUUUGUGGGGUGCCAGCAUCGACUGGUCUUCCAGGGGGAAAAAAAGCUGCUUUCAAGAAAUUGAGUUCACGGUUUUUCAUAACAUGCCGGAUUAAUAUUUUCCUUCAUACAUUUCGACAAUUCUUUAAUUCAUGAGAAAUUUGUAAAGCGGCUACAUCAGGGAAGCUUCGAUCUUUCAUUGACGCCAUAUCGAGAAUAAUAAUGAAUAUAGAUUUCUCAGUUGAAUGCAUGGAUGGUAUAAUCAUUAUUAAGAGGAUUGAUAAUUGCAAAGUCCGUUUCCGAUUAUGCUGAUCCUCCAAGCAAUCCUUUGUUCUCCACUUAAUCCUUUGUAACAGUGCACACCUUAUUUAUUAAUGUCGCUUGGUAAAUUUCGCUGCCGAUUUUCACCAAUUCAAUAUGUCAAAUUAGUAUUGUGAUUUUUUUAAAUAGAUCAAAGAACCCAAUGAUUGGUUAAAUGUGUUUGCCAAUCAGAAUAUUGUGGGUUCAACUCCUGCAUCGGCUGAGGCUACCAUAAAGAUUGUUGUCCUUCUUAACAUGUUCCCCUUGCCUGAGGCGUGAUAACCGUCAGUUUACACCACCACCAGUCAUCUCUCUACAUUGAGAGAGCAGUCUGGUAAGACAAUGUCGAUUUUAACUUAUUAUGUUUCAGUUGUACCUACAGAUUUAUAUAAAAACAAAACUUAUUCACCCAAGGCAGUACCUCUUGGAUAUUUUACAGUGAUCAUGAGACAAUCUUCAGUUUAUUUCAAGUUUAAAUGCAACUUGGAUCACGGUUUACACUAAGCAUGAUUUGAAUUAAACAUUUCAUUUUGUUUUCUGAUUACAAUAGUCUCUUUUCUAAGGACUAUUAGUGUUAGUUUGUUAAAAGUCAGGCGCAUCAUUUUACCAGUCACUGAACACAACAGACUUCCAUACAUGUUGGAUUUCUACAUUCUGUAUAUUGUUUAAUGUGGCAGUAGUUUUAUUGCUCUUUCUGCCCUUUUAUUUUAGACAUACUAGUCUGGAUUAACAAAUAAUCCGAUUACCACUUUCCAAUCGCUACGCAGUUAAAUGUAAAAUUUUACGCCUCCAACAAUUCCAAACGUUUAUGGUUUGGACAAUCUGAGGUCUCAAUUAUCCACCCACAGCACGAAAUUACUUCAUCGGAUGAUCGGUGUUAAACUAAAACAAAACUAGCUUCAACGAAGCCUCUUGCAUGUUUCCAAUAUUUCAAUUCUACUAAACGGUAAAGAAAUGUGUCGUUAAUUUUCGGGGAAUCAUUUCUCAUGUAGAAGUCUCACUGCUGAAGCGGUUAAUCCAGUUGGGUAAACGGAUAUUUGUCGAAUAGAAACCCACCUGGAUUUGGUCUCCAGUAAAUGGGGACGUAGUUCCCCUCAAUUCUGUGUUAGCUAUUUAACAGCCUUCCAGAUCCUUCCUAUUACAUGUAGAGAAAAUGCAUCUUUGCCACUCUUUAACUGGUUACAGCAUGUAAUCGACCUUCUUCAUUCAUACAGUUCUGCAUAAAAGAGGACAAGCAAGUCCAGUUGAUUCAAGUAGUCUGUGUCAGUGUUUAUCCCGAGGCAUCUUAAGCCUAUCCUCACAUUCCUUUAUUACCUCCCUUUCAUCUAUUGAAACUAAUUGCUCCUGGACGUGUCAAUUAAAGACCUUUUGCUGUUGGGGGAAUUCUACUUAAAACAGAGAAAAUACUGGAAUUUAUUGUUCACUCUCAUUUAAAAAAAAAUAAAAGUGCCUCUUAACGUGUGAAAAGCUCUAAAGUAUGUGCAUGUAAAGGUAGCAUAAAUAAAGUCUAAAACUAAAUACAGUUUUUUUUAUACUUUAACACUUUCAGAUAUACAUCUUGAAAUGAGGAUACAUUUCCAAUUUAGGCUGCAAUUACCAGGCUGAAGAUUAUUGUUGGCAAUUGCAGAUGAAUGGGAUAAGAAUUUGCCUGGAGAAAGGAGAAAAUAAUUAAACUAAAUACAGAUAAUAAAUUCAUUUUCUAAUGUCACCAAUAGGAAUAUCUAAGCUAGACUACAAAUAUAGUCUUAGACUAAUACCUGUGGAGUCUGACUACCAAUGAGGGAAUCAAAUUCUACAUUGAUUGCAUACAUGCAGAGACUGCCCAGUCACUUUUAAAAUCUAGUUUUGACUAGUUUGAAGUCAUAUUGCAUUCAGUAUGGACUCCAACCUAAUGAGACUAGCUCUUGGAGAAAGUCUUUAUCUUCUCAGUUUUGUAUGUUUUGGUCAGAUUAUUGACUUGACCCACAAGGUAUGCUGACCUUCAUGUUGCUACACAUCUAAUAAAGCCUUCUAUUAGAGGUAGAUCUGCAUCUUUUUACUGCAAACUUGUCAUAUAGAAACAACAUAUUAUGAAUUGUGUGACAUUUUAACAUUUAAGUGAAUUUGAUGACAUCAUUAUUUUAAAAACUCUGAGGCAGAAUAAUUGAUCUCUGACACUUUGGUAAAUGUAACUGACAUUCAUUAUAAUAAUUUUAUUUAUUUAUGGAUUUAAAGUGAAUUAUUUAUUUUUUAGGAUUAAUGCAGUUAAAAUAUGACACUGAUUUUUCUUAGCAAUUUUCUUUUUGCCAAUUUUCUCCGUGCCAUCCCUGAAAGUAAUAGUUCAUGCUUCGAUACAAUGGUGCACACAGGAGUACAUUUCAACAAUAACAAACAUACUUCAGGAACUCAUUCAAAUUGAUAUGCUCCUAAUGUGAAUUUAGAUACUGAGUGAGGGUGCAUUAUUGGCUGAUGGAAGGUACCACAACUGUCCUUCAUCCAAUAUUUGUCAUAAGAGAUCAUUAAAGAGCUAGAAGGAGGUGCAAUGAAUCCAGUCUUCUGUUUUUGAUCACAAGGACACUAAUGCCAAAUACUAACCACCAGAACCAUUGCAAUUACUUAUUCAGUACAGAUGGGGAUUAAAUGAGAACCUGGUCUGUAUAGGUUAGGCAGUAGAUUUGAACCACUGAGGGGCAACAAAGCAUAAUUGAUGCUAGAACUCCCUCCAGAGGCGCUUAUUAAAUCACAAAGGAAUACAGAGAGCCAGUGAACCCAUAUUUACCUAAUUAACUUUACCUAAUUAUUUACUACAUUAACUUUUAAUGCAUGGUAUAAACAGAAUAUUACAUGAAGACCUUAGGGAAAUAAUUUAUUUCACUUGACUGAUGCUUAUCAUCAAUCAGAAUGAAUGGAAUCAGUCAAUUACCAAAUCAGCAGGCACUUCAGAUAGCUUCUCACUUGUCACUGUCUGUAAAAUGCACUCAUGGCUUUAGGUCUGACCCAAUGAAUGAGUAACAUGAUUUAACUCUCUUGAUGUCUGAUUUUUCCGCAAUAGGAGAACAUUUUAAGAAUUCAGGAUUAAUUGACAGAAUGUGAUGUAGACUACAAUAAGGUGCACUGCUAUUUAUUCACAACAUCUCCUUACCUUCUAAAUGAACCUUACAAAGAGUUCAACUAUAUGCAAUAACUGCAAAAGUAAGUCCAAAAGAUACUUGUAGGUUUAGAAUAUACCUUAAUGUGCAAGAAAUGAAUGUUUAAUUUACCAUUCACAUAUUGAAAUAGGAGGAUCAGACAAUACAAAGAAAAUAACUACCAGAAACUUGACAAUUUAAUAACUUAUCUUUUAUGAAUCCAAUUUCAAGUCUUCACAUUGGAGGAGUAUAAAUCCCAUAACACAAUAUUCACAGAAUAUUCUUUCUCUGUUUUAUCAUUUAUUCUCAAUUCUUUGUGUAACAGCUUUUGUAUAUAUAGAUUUCAUUAGAAAGCCUUUUAAAUUUCCAGAAUACUUCUUCCAUUAUUUAGAUAUUAAGAAGUACAGAAUCCAUAAAAUAAUCUAGUUGGUGUGCCAAGCAAUGCAUAUUUAAUCCUUGUUUUUAGUCCCCCUAUCUGAGGGACUGGCAUGUCACUCCAUCUUCCACUUUUUGAUCUGGAAAUUAACUAUAAAAGCCGUGAAAACAAAGACCACCUUUUGUUUACUUUAUUAUUUAAAAUUUACUGACUAAAUCAAAGCAGAAUGUGCAGGACACUGCCAGGAUAAGACAGGGAAUGAAGAAAAUCAAAAAAUAACAGAUUGGUCACACCAAGGUUCAAUUUUAAAAGAAGGUAAGUUACAGGAACCCGUGACAGUUAGGGAGAUCAGAAUUCUAUAUUUUUGAGUUUAACUGAAUGGUUGCCAUAGACUAGGAAUUUACGUGAUUUUUACAUAAGUUUUCAAGUAAUUGAAGAUCAACUUUGAUUGAAGUGAUACAGGUUGUAGGAAUAAUCAAUGGUUCAGGAAAGGCAGAUGAUAACAGAUUCACAAAAUAAAACUAAACAAAAUAAACAAGAAAACAAUAUCAAACGAAACAAAGAAGAUAAUAGAGGAAUAGAUAACAUAAAGAUAAGGUCUUUGUAAUUAGUUAGAAUAUUUGUUAAUAUCAACUUGAGUAAUAAAUCUAUCUUUGCCACAAUAUAUAAAGCCAUCUUGAAUUUCAAAGGUUUAAAAAUAGUUUAAAAAUAGUAAAUUGAUGCAGAACAUGCUGAAGAUGCUAACUGUGAAUAUUCAAAUUCUUUUUCAGUUCAAUGGAAAACACUGACAGAGUGACAAUAUAUAUCAGGAGGCAGGAUAUACUUAUAUACAGAAAGAUGUUUCUGAGUUGAUGAAUUAUUGCUGAACAUAUUUAUGAACAUUGAUUUAUGAAAUGACAGAACUGAAGGAGGCCAUUUGGCCCAUCAUGCUUGGAGGGUUGUGAACAUUUGAAGAUCUCACGUACAGUGGGUUGCCAACACUCCAAAACUAGAAUAUAUUCAAGGCUAGGAUAGAGGCCUGUUGCAAAGUGGCAGCAGUGGCCCAAUGUGAAGCAUGGUGGCAGCAGUGGUCAGCACACAUGGAGGCCCCGUGUGCUGGUCUGCAGUGAAGAACUCUUGGAGAGAGAUUGUGAUGUUUGUCUUUUUAACUUUGCUUCUUGUUUGUUGCUGACCUAUGGUUACCCUGUGUAUAGCUGUAAUGUAACUUUUUUUCUUCAUUUCUUUAUUCGAUAACUAAGGAUUAUACCUAGGUACUCAGUACCUAAGAUGGCGCUGUAUGUUGGUGACAUUCUUACAUUGUAACUGAUCUGUAACUGAAGAAGCUGUACCUAGGUACCUUUGUACCUAAGAUGGUGUUUUAAGUGGCGCCUUACAAACUUUUCACUGUACUCAUUUGAGUACAUGUGACUUUAAAGCUAAUUGAAUUGAAUUCAAUUCAGAUUGAUUUUAGAUUUCUCAGGAAAUCAAGGGAUGACAGGGAGCAGACAGAAAACAGCAGCUGAGGCUGACAGCCAUGGUUAAACUGAAUGGCAGAGCAGGCACAAAUAGUUACAAGAUCUACUCCUCAUUUUUUAUGUUCUAAGUACUUGGCCACUCUUGGUAAGUAUUUCAUUCAGGGCACCAUCUAUGCCCUUGUUUCAUUAACAUUUUCUCCAAGUGCUGUGAAAUAU